rnacentral:misc_RNA from 1 species
AACGCACAUUGCGCCCGCCAGCAUUCUGGCGGGCAUGCCUGUUCGAGCGUCAUUUCAACCAUCAAGCCCCCGGGCUUGUGUUGGGGACCUGCGGCUGCCGCAGGCCCUGAAAAGCAGUGGCGGGCUCGCUGUCGCACCGAGCGUAGUAGCAUACAUCUCGCUCUGGUCGCGCCGCGGGUUCCGGCCGUUAAACCACCUUUUAACCCAAGGUUGACCUCGGAUCAGGUAGGAAGACCCGCUGAACUUAA